UUCACUAGGGGGGCGUAUGCUGAGAGGAAAUAUCCGACCCUUUGAACCUGUUGGGAUAAUACCUGCGUAGGGAAGUGACCUC
rnacentral:ncRNA from 1 species